UACUCACUAACUCAUCAGAAUAAAUGUAAAUCAUAGUGAUUAGCUGUCACUGAACAAAAGCUGAGAGAUGGUCACCCUCAACAGAUAAAUUUCACUGGGCUGGAACAUGAAGAAUUUUCUAGGGGGAGGGAUCCAGCAUUAAUGGAAGUCCCGAACAUUAUGAAGUCACUGGAAAAGCUGGUGGGUGAGCAACUGGCAUGGAAUAAAGGAUGCGGACAGAAAGGGGAAGGCCAAUAGGAAUAAAUUUUUCCUUCUUAAUAAUUUUACUGAGGAUCAGCCCUAAUCAAUUUUAUCCCACCAGAGCCCAUGUAUCCAAAUCAAGAUGACACUGAAAAUAUGGAAAAUUUAAAAUCAAUGCCCAUGACAGUAAUAAAGAGCUG
rnacentral:lncRNA from 1 species